rnacentral:ncRNA from 2 species
AGGAAUUGAACGCUCCGAGCUCUGAUCCCUAAAGGCAGAAGGCCUAUGGGGCAGCAGCCGGCAGGGUAUCGACGGAAACGGCGAUGCCUCCCAAAGUGGAAAGGAGUGUAUGGCAGGGAACU